UGACACUGGGAGCUGACACUGGGUGACAGUGACGGUGACAGCGGUUGUAGCUGUGAUAGUGAUGGUGACAAGCAGUGAUGGUGACAACGGCGGUGUCCAUGGCAACAAGAAUUGGUGACAGUGACCGUGACGGUGGUGACCAUGGCACCAACAACCGGUGACAGUGACGGUGUUGGUGCCGGUGCUGGUGCCGGUGCUGGUGCCGGUGAUGGUGACGGUGACGGUGACGGUGACAGUCUUGGUGAUGGUGACGGUGAUGGUGACGGUGCUGGUGACGGUGAUGGUGACGGUGUUGGUGCCAGUGAUGGUGACGGUGAUGGUGACGGUGAUGGUGACGGUGACAGUCUUGGUGAUGGUGACGGUGCUGGUGACGGUGCUGGUGCCGGUGAUGGUGACGGUGAUGGUGACGGUGCUGGUGACGGUGACAGUCUUGGUGAUGGUGACGGUGAUGGUGACGGUGAUGGUGACAGUGAUGGUGACGGUGAUGGUGACGGUGAUGGUGACGGUGAUGGUGACAGUGAUGGUGACGGUGAUGGUGACGGUGAUGGUGACGGUGAUGGUGACGGUGAUGGUGACGGUGACAGUCUUGGUGAUGGUGACGGUGAUGGUGACGGUGCUGGUGCCGGUGAUGGUGACGGUGAUGGUGACGGUGAUGGUGACGGUGCUGGUGCCGGUGAUGGUGACGGUGCUGGUGACGGUGAUGGUGACAGUGAUGGUGACGGUGAUGGUGACGGUGAUGGUGACAGUGAUGGUGACGGUGUUGGUGCCGGUGAUGGUGACGGUCAUGGUGAUGGUGACAGUCUUGGUGAUGGUGACGGUGCUGGUGUUGGUGCCGGUGAUGGUGACGGUGAUGGUGACGGUGACAGUCUUGGUGAUGGUGAUGGUGAUGGUGACGGUGAUGGUGACGGUGACGGUGAUGGUGACGCUGUCCCCGUGUCCAGGUGUUGCUGGAGCUGCGGGCGCUGGCGGCGGUGCCGCGUCUCGGCUCUGGCCCCCCCCAGGGGGAGGUGAGCGGGAACCUGCGGCUGCUGCACGGGGUGAGACUGGGGGCACUGGG
rnacentral:lncRNA from 1 species